rnacentral:tRNA from 1 species
GCUAGCGUAGCUCAAUCGGCAGAGCAACGGUUUUGUAAACCGUAGGUUGCGAGUUCGAUUCUCGCCGCUAGCU